rnacentral:rRNA from 1 species
GACGAACGCUGGCGGCGUGCUUAACACAUGCAAGUCGAACGGUAAGGCCCUUCGGGGUACACGAGUGGCGAACGGGUGAGUAACACGUGGGUGAUCUGCCCUGCACUUCGGGAUAAGCCUGGGAAACUGGGUCUAAUACCGGAUAGGACCCUGGGAUGCAUGUCCUGGGGUGGAAAGCUUUUGCGGUGUGGGAUGGGCCCGCGGCCUAUCAGCUUGUUGGUGGGGUGAUGGCCUAUCAGGGCGACGGCGGGUAGCCGGCCUGAGAGGGUGACCGGCCACACUGGGACUGAGAUACGGCCCAGACUCCUACGGGAGGCAGCAGUGGGGAAUAUUGCACAAUGGGCGCAAGCCUGAUGCAGCGACGCCGCGUGAGGGAUGACGGCCUUCGGGUUGUAAACCUCUUUCAGCACCGACGAAGCGCAAGUGACGGUAGGUGCAGAAGAAGGACCGGUCAACUACGUGCCAGCCGCCGCCGUAA